GAUGAAGAACGCAGCGAAAUGCGAUAAGUAGUGUGAAUUGCAGAAUUCAGUGAAUCAUCGAAUCUUUGAACGCACAUUGCGCCCCUUGGUAUUCCAUGGGGCAUGCCUGUUCGAGCGUCAUUUGUACCUUCAAGCUUUGCUUGGUGUUGGGUGUUUGUCUCGCCUUUGCGUGUAGACUCGCCUUAAAAUAAUUGGCAGCCGGCGUAUUGAUUUCGGAGCGCAGUACAUCUCGCGCUUUGCACUCAUAACGACAGCGUCCAAAAGUACAUUUUACACUCUUGACCUCGGAUCAGGUAGGGAUACCCGCUGAACUUAAGCAUAUCAAUAAGCGGAGAA
rnacentral:misc_RNA from 1 species